CCCCUUGGGUCUUGGCUCCUACUUGUCAACCACAAAUUAAUUUUUAGGUUGAUAAUUUAUGCCUUCUUAUCCAGGACAUCUGCUAUGUACAAUAGUUUUCCUAGCUUGAAAUUUCUAAUCCUCCCUUGAAUAACCUUCCUCAGCUCCUUGGACAGAGAUUGCUUUGGUGGCUAUAUUGCAAUAGGCCUGGUCAACAGCACAGAGUCUGGCAUCACAGCCUCUGAGUGUGACUGGGUGGGAGCCCAAGGGAACAAGGAUCUACGGCCCUCCCCUCCUCUGGGGUCCUCUGACUUUGACUUUGUGGCUGGGUGGCUCAGAAUAAAGGCAUGAUGGGUCAGAAGUGUAGGAGGAGCUGGAGUUGGGGCUGGCCCCACAUUAGAGGCAGAAGUGGUGGUGGGCAGAGACUGCUGACGAUCUAAUC
rnacentral:lncRNA from 1 species